CUCCUGAUCUGAAAGGAAGUGGUGUCACCAAAGGGCAGAUCUGCAGUUUUCUUCAAUGAGCUAGGAGGGAAAUGGGGACGAAACUCAUCGCAUCUGUCCCCAGAAGAACCAAACGUGCAUUGAAGCCAUUGCUGCAGAGAGAGGAAGACUGAGCACUUUAGUGUCUAAGCUCCUGUUAUAACAGGGUCUAUCCACCACUGCAUGCUGGAGUGAACAACAUAACAGUGAGAGAGAGAACUGCUACCUACCGUGCAGGUGCUGCGGCAGGAUACCAUUCUGCAUUCCAGAGUAAUAUACCAAUUUGAAUUAUGAGCUCAACCUUGGGACUCUAAC
rnacentral:lncRNA from 1 species